rnacentral:rRNA from 1 species
AGCGAACGUUGGCGGCGCGCCUAACACAUGCAAGUCGAACGCGAAAGGACCUCGGUCCGAGUAGAGUGGCGCACGGGUGAGUAACACGUGAGUAAUCUGCCCUUUAGCCUGGGAUAACACGCCGAAAGGCGUGCUAAUACCGGAUGAGACCACGGAAUCUUCGGAGACUGUGAGAAAAGGCGGGGUCCGCAAGGACCUGUCACUAGAGGAUGAGCUCGCGGCCUANCAGCUAGUUGCGGGGUAAUGGCCCACCAAGGCUAAGACGGGUAGCUGGUCUGAGAGGAUGAUCAGCCACAUUGGAACUGAGACACGGUCCAGACUUCUACGGAAGGCAGCAGUGGGAAUUUUGCGCAAUGGGCGAAAGCCUGACGCAGCGACGCGCGUGUGCGAUGAAGGCCUUUGGGUCGUAAAGCACUGUCGACCGGGACGAAACCUGCGAGCUAAUACCUCGCAGGCUUGACGGUACUGGUAAAGGAAG